CUUAAGUAUUUGGUAAAUUAUUAGAAUACUGAACGAGUGCUUAACCUGUACAGUGUUUAAAUCUAGUAAUCAAAGUUCAAAGGGGCAUAUUAUACGAGUAUUUCAAAGAAGUAAUUUUGCUGCCUCUUCUCCCAUGAGACG